UACGAAGGGGGCUAGCGUUGCUCGGAAUCACUGGGCGUAAAGGGCUCGUAGGCGGCCAACUAAGUCAGACGUGAAAUCCCUCGGCUUAACCGGGGAACUGCGUCCGAUACUGACGGCGGCUUGAAUUCGGGAGAGGGAUGUGGAAUUCCGAGGUGUAGCGGUGAAAUGCGUAGAUAUCUGGAGGAACACCGGUGGCGAAGGCGGCAUCCUGGACCGACAUUGACGCUGAGGCGCGAAAGCCAGGGGAGCAAACGGG
rnacentral:rRNA from 1 species